GAAAAUGUAUUUAUACAACAUGUCAACAUCCAAAAAUCUCGUUUAUUGUAGCAAUUAGUGCCAAAUCAAUCAAAUGAUCCCUUUGGAGUGGUUUACAAGAGGUGUCAAAACCUAGUAUUGUCAUAGGAAACAGUACAAAUGUGUCAAAAAUUCAAGAAUCAAGGGCCUAUUACAACAAAUACAAAAUUUGUUCAACAGCGCGAGGCCUGAAAGGUUAUCAAGACUAAAAGCAAUUACAAUAAAUAAAAACUGCAUAAUGAAUCUAACUAACUAUAAUGAAUUUAUAGGUAUUGUCACUUUGGAUAGUAAACAAUUUGGGAAAGCGUGUCUCAUGGCUGUGGGCGAGUGGAAGAAGUAUUUCCACCGACAUGAGGUUCAAAUGAGUUGGCAGAAGUAGCCUUACUACUACUGUUAUCAUCAUAAGGUGGGGGCUGCGAUUUGGUGGAGAAAAUCUUACUAUAGAAACCCCAAGAUGGGUUUCUUUCUGUAAUAGCUUCUUGACCAAAUGGAUUUUGCCGAACAUACUCUUGAACAUUCUCAGCAUCAGCUAGCCCUUCCAGAUAUACCCGAAGAUUGCCACCAUGGCCUGUUUCGAACCAUAGUAGAAAUAACAUUAUCAAUAACACUCUUGAUUAAAUCACACAACGAAACAUUUAACAAAAUAGAAGGCCCAAGAUAAGAAUUCAAGAGAGUGCAAUCCAGGGAGGAGGGGGAAGUUUUGUAUUUGAAUUAGGUGGCAGGCGAAUGGAAUAGUGGGCCAUCAGCUAAUACUGAAUAUGUUAAUAAUAAAUUGUAACAGGACAAGGUAAGCGUCAGUGUUCAACCUACGAACAUAUAGGCAACUGCAACCACAUCUCCCAAUAUCCUUCAUCACUAGUUUAUCAAUAUGGUUUGCAUCCAUAUUAUGCUAAUUGUGCACCUUACAUUUUGAAAAAAACAUAAAAAUAUACGAGUUUUGAGAAUAGCCCACCUAAUGAAGAAUCUUCAGCAUUCCUGUAAUCAUAUGGAUAGGGAAAGAUUGCAGUGUGUGCCUGAACAGUUGGUGAUGAUAUAGAUGAAGUUAGGAUUGUAAUUAGCAUAUAAUCUAAAGUUAUGAACGAGUCAUUUAAUGCCAGACGAGGGAAAGAAAAAUGAUGUUUGGAACUUACUGGAUUACACAAGGCUUUGUAUGGGGAAUCAUCCAACAACAAGGUGUUCGUUUCAUUAUACUCCCCCUUUUUCCAUGGAAGAUUGGGAUCAAUCUUCUCCCACAAUUUUUUUAACUCCUUCAGAACCAGAGGUUUCCUCUUAUUCUCAAGGCUGUGGAGCCCUGUUUCACUACACUGGGAAGCAUCCUGCAUAGAAUCGACAUAGAAUCGAUCAUCAUCGAAUUAAACAAUAAAAUAUACCAGAAAUGAAUCCUAUUCCAAACUACUCCAGCAUAAAAACUGUCAGUCAAAAUAUCGUCCAUACUUCUAACAUUCAACUAAUUGCAAAGAACAUGGAUAGAUUUACAAAAAGGAUUACCCAACAAAAGAGCAAAUUCUGCCUAGAAUCACCCAGAAGAAAGUCAAUCACAUUGUCCAAAUUUUUCCUGCAAGAAAAAAAGCAGCAUGGUAAAGCUCCCUUAAUUUUUCUCCAUGAAAUAAUACAGAGAAAAGAAAAAAAAAGGGUAAACAACAGAAAAAUUGUAAUCAGCUGUAGAUUGAAGAAUACUUGACCCUCGACGACCAAACUCCAACAUUGAAUCUCUCAAAGCAAAAACUUAGGAACUCAUCACAACAUGGCCUUUUGAACACUGAAAAGAAUCAAGUUAGAGUUAAUUAAUGACAUAAAAUAAUAUUCAAAUAUGUCAACUAAAAAUAAGUGCUUAUUUAAUUUUACCUGCUUUAUUUGAUACCAUUUUAUCUGGCCUAUAUCGACGAUAAGGAGAUGCAACAAUGUCUACAAGAAGUCCAUUCAGAUCAAGUACAAGAAGCUUUUUCUUAGAAUGGCCGAUACAUACAUUUCCAGGUGGAUAUUGCAGUGUUUGUGAAUGAUUUUCCUCUUCACUAGAGUCAUGUAAACCAGUACCAGAUUUUACGACACCCAAAUGUGAUGGAGGAAAUCCUUCUGUUGUCUUGGUUUCUACCUCUACAUGCUGCUUCUUUGGGAGCUUGCAGCUCCUAUCAUGGCCAGAUAUAUUAUAUUCCUUGGGAUGAGAUGGAAUUUCAUCAGAAACAUCAUUCCCAUGAGAAGCAUCGUGCACAGUAAUCUGGAUCUUAUCUAGUUUAUCACUGAGUUUCUGCUCAAUGUGUCCUUCAGUUAACAAGGACACAUUCUUCAUUAAACUAUCUCCAUCCUCCUUAAUGCAAUCCACACCAUUUACCAGCAAAUUAGAGCACUUUUUCUUUUUUGUCCAAAUGUAGGUUUUCACUCUUUUCUUCCUCUUAUAUGCAAUGAUAGUCCUUGUUUCAGAAGAAACAGGAUGACUCUCAGGGUGCACAUCAUCAUUCUCCAUUAAACUUCUGUUUGCACUAUUUGAAGAACUACUUUGCUUUUCGGAUAUUGGAAAAUCUUUCCUCAUUGUAGUCAAAUCUAACUCUGUAACUUUAGGAGCACACUUUGCUUCCUUCUUUUCCAACUGCUUGCCAUUAGCCAUGUGCAAAUCAAUAACUCCAUUAUUUUCAAAGGCAUUAUGCCCAUUGAACAAACACACAUCUCCAUUUGAUUGUUUCACCACCAGCUCAUUCUGUGAGCAUAUGUCAACUGAUGGCUGCAAAGAUGAGUGCUUUUCUUGCAGCAUAUUGUUUUUUAGAGACUUAUCUCCUGCAAGAGCACAAUCUUUAGCAUCACGUUCAAGGACAUGGAGACUCUCCUUAUGUAACUUUCUCCUCAAUCUCUUUCUCUUCGAUCGACUUAAAUUCUUUGGGAAAUCCAACUUUACGCUUGUAUCCACCGAACCAUUCGUUUCUUUGGGAGCAGCUGCCAAUACAAUUUUUAAGCUUGUAUCCCCCGAAGCCUCCACUUCAAGGGGAUCAGUUUCUGAAACUGCCUUGGUGAUCAUAUCAACUAAAGCCAUUCCAAAGGGAGCAGUCAUUGUUUUAGAAGUAACUUCUUGAAGAUCAGCAUCUGUAUUAUCCGUUUUGGGGGCACCAGACUUCCUCUUCCGCCGACGCCUUUUUCUGUUUUUCUUAUUUCCCGAACGCAUCAAAGGGGAAUUAUCACAUGCCUCUAUCAAACCUGGGUUAGAGCUAACAUCAACUGUAGAUUCUGUACUAUCCAUUGUUGGUGCAUUAUCCCUGUUUUGGUUCUGCUGCCCUUUUACCUUUUUCUUAUUUUCCAAAUAUGCCAAACCGGAAUUAUAUUGUGCCUCUAUCAAACUUGAGUUAUUGUCAACGGUAGAUUCUGGUAUCAAAUCUGAGUUGGAGCUAAUAUCAAUAGUAGAUUCUGCACAUGAAUUUGUUUUUAGGGGGAUAUCCUGCAUUAAGGAAGCUCCCUCUGGACAAUCAUGACUACGAUCAUUAUUAUUACAUAACGCAUUAGUUUUCCUAUUCCGCUUGUUUCUCUUCCUCUUCGCAGCAGAUGAACUUACUUCUGCAUGAUGCGAUUUGAUUUCCAAAUCCAUGUUCAAACUAUCAACUAAACAAACACUAUUACCAUUUGCACUCCAAGCAAUACUCUUUAUCGACCGAAUUUAGCAUCGCCAGGUGCUUCAGCAUACUAAUGCAGGGUAUAUUCCAUUCAUUCUCUGCCAUUAAUAGAAUACAUCUUCUUUUUUGCAACACCUCCCAAAACGAAAGGCAAAAUAUUUUCUAUUUUAACCUUUAGGCUUUUCCUCACACUAUGAACUUCAUACAAACCUGCAAAAGCAUCCAUACAAACCAAAAGUGAGCUCCAUAUAUAUUAACUGCUGCAGCACCUACACACAAUCAAGCAAUACACCAAAAAUCCAACACUGCAAAAAAGGUGUUGAAUAGGACAACUGGCAUCACCAGUGCUAGUUGUUGUAUGGAAAGUUGAGUUCAUUCCACCCAACAUAAAGCCACGUAAAUGAAUAUAUGCAUAAAAGCCAAAUUUAACUUGUGAAUAACUACGGCAUCGGAUAUCUAGAAUGCCUAAACGUAUCAAAUAAUCAGUGUCUCAUAACCGACACAAAUUAGCGACGAGAAUAAAAAGUAAUCUUAUUGCGAUGCUUCCUUAUAAUUGACUAUCUAAUAAUAAUUUCAUCUUAUUUCUUCAAAAUCUGCAGAGUUUUGAACGUCAAGUAAUUUUUCAUCAACAGAGCGGAAGAUUUAAAAAACUUACUAAAAUCAGCAGGCCAGUAAAUUAGGCAUCAAGUAGUAGAAAUAUGCAGAAUUUGAUAUACAGAUACGUAGAACGGAUGAAUUUAUUCAUUUUAAGCUGCAAUCGAAAUAACACUCAACUAAGUAAUUCAGAACAGUAUUCGAAUCUCGAUAUAGGCUAGAGAGCGGAAAACGAAACCUGAAGCAGCAGAAGAGGAUGAAAUCCGACGGAGGCUUAAAAAAUUAGAAUGAGGUUUUGGCUUUUGCUUUUUCGGAAGACUUUUCUAUCUAAUGCCAUGUCUAAUGUGAUACAUUAACACUACUACUGCCUGCUGCUCGCCGCUCCUCAGGAGCAACCGCUAGUGGUUUCCAACCGCAAAUCAACUUUUACCUAAAUACCAAUACCGAUACGAUUGCGUAUUGUCUAUUUAAUGUGUCCAGACACGGAAGGGGGCUUCCCAUUUUUCCUUUUUUUUUUUAAUCGUUUUUAUUUUUUAAUUUAGUUUCUUUAUUAACUAAUGUAUUUUAUAUUAGUAUAUAAUAAUUAAUUAAAUAUCAUUGAAUUUUUUUGGUAAAUUUAAAAUGCCUUUUGUUGGAUUUUCUAUUGGCAUAAGAAAACAGUCAACAAGAUGGGAAAUUAACUUCAAGCUGUAAUAAAAAAUCAAAAUUUUCUAUAACUCGUAGCUGACUGCUGUACGGCCAAGGCGGAUGUACGGUACAGCAGUUGAGUUCAUUCCACCCAACAUAAAGCCACGUAAAUGAAUAUAUGCAUAAAAGCCAAAUUUAACUUGUGAAUAACUACGGCAUCGGAUAUCUAGAAUGCCUAAACGUAUCAAAUAAUCAGUGUCUCAUAACCGACACAAAUUAGCGACGAGAAUAAAAAGUAAUCUUAUUGCGAUGCUUCCUUAUAAUUGACUAUCUAAUAAUAAUUUCAUCUUAUUUCUUCAAAAUCUGCAGAGUUUUGAACGUCAAGUAAUUUUUCAUCAACAGAGCGGAAGAUUUAAAAAACUUACUAAAAUCAGCAGGCCAGUAAAUUAGGCAUCAAGUAGUAGAAAUAUGCAGAAUUUGAUAUACAGAUACGUAGAACGGAUGAAUUUAUUCAUUUUAAGCUGCAAUCGAAAUAACACUCAACUAAGUAAUUCAGAACAGUAUUCGAAUCUCGAUAUAGGCUAGAGAGCGGAAAACGAAACCUGAAGCAGCAGAAGAGGAUGAAAUCCGACGGAGGCUUAAAAAAUUAGAAUGAGGUUUUGGCUUUUGCUUUUUCGGAAGACUUUUCUAUCUAAUGCCAUGUCUAAUGUGAUACAUUAACACUACUACUGCCUGCUGCUCGCCGCUCCUCAGGAGCAACCGCUAGUGGUUUCCAACCGCAAAUCAACUUUUACCUAAAUACCAAUACCGAUACGAUUGCGUAUUGUCUAUUUAAUGUGUCCAGACACGGAAGGGGGCUUCCCAUUUUUCCUUUUUUUUUUUAAUCGUUUUUAUUUUUUAAUUUAGUUUCUUUAUUAACUAAUGUAUUUUAUAUUAGUAUAUAAUAAUUAAUUAAAUAUCAUUGAAUUUUUUUGGUAAAUUUAAAAUGCCUUUUGUUGGAUUUUUAACUUCAAUGAGAUUUGUAAUAAUAAUUUUUUUUUUUUUUUCAUAAAACAACACAAACUUUUAGGACAAUUUUACCAUCGAAACUCUAUCAAAAACUUUAGUGAGUAUGUUCAUUAAAAUAUUCCGCUUUUAUUUGCACUCGAUCUAUAGUGAUUUGACAAGAGGUCGUUACUGGUUACCACUGUCAAUGUCAAUUGUUCAAACCAACAGUGAAAAUAUGUUACCAUUUAAAAGUUAAAACAGAUAAAUGAUACCCUCAAAAGUUUCAUUCUGCAUUUGUAAAUCUACAAAAGACCACUAAGAAUUUGAACAACAUCAAAUCAGAAAAUGACAAAUAAUAAAUUCUUAAUGGACUUUUUCUCAACAGAUUUAAAUGAGGAUGAGAAAAUCUCAUACAAAAGGUAUAUUCACCAUCGUCUAGGGCCAAAUAUAAACUUUAAAAGAGCUGCUUCAAAUGCCACGUGUUAAUAUCAUGACAGUCCUAAACGGAUGAGCGCUCAUCAUCAAUAUUCCUUUUCGCUGGAAAUGGUAAGGGUUUCUUGUACAAACAAGUACACAAUAAAGCAAUUAAUUAGCUCACAAUAAUUUCAUAGCUGAUAAAAGAUGCCGUAAAAUCAGCGAAAUGCCAGCAGCAAAGGUGUCAGAACACAUAGGAAAUAAGUGUAAGCCUAUAAAAAUUGAAGCUGAAACCAUUUCUUCCUCAGUCUCAAAAUCUGAAAUGUAUGUAUAUGCAUUUCUCAAUCGGGCAUCAACCUCUACUUGUGACAAAUAUUAGCUGGUUAGAGGGAAAGAAAGAAACAUCUACCAAUCAAUGAUUCCAGGUACCGUAAAUUUACAAAAGAUCAAAUAUAUUCAACUCAAUAGCUAUAAUUAAGAAAGACGCAACUUUCAUAAUCGAUAUGUUACAUACAUGUUAUGAACUUCCUCAGACUUGGCUGAGGAGAGAAAUAAUCCUGUUGUAAACUCUAUCUUGAAAUCUCCUUCAGCUAGCAGUAGCACGUAUAAAAUUUACAACUAAUAAACAACUUCCACCAAUGAGCAGAUAAUUAUCACCAUCAGUCCAUCCUCACGGCACUGAAAGAAAAAAUUACAAAUCAUGGUUACAGCUCUAUUGGCAUAAGAAAACAGUCAACAAGAUGGGAAAUUAACUUCAAGCUGUAAUAAAAAAUCAAAAUUUUCUAUAACUCGUAGCUGAGAAAUCACUUACCGAUGGUCACAUUUUCACGUACUUAUCAACAUAGCCCUGCAAAAUUUGGUCAAAGUAGUUAGAAACACUUGUUUCCUUUCACUGAUUUCUUUCAGUUUGAGGGAAAUGAAGUGAAUAGUGAUUAAGGCAUUUGACAUAGUAUUCUAGGUUCCGUAAAGUAAAUGAGAUUCAUCUGUUUACAUGAAACAAAAUGUUGCUAAUGGAAUUAGUUAGGACUGUCAAAAAUCGCAAUCCAACUUUUGGGAGACAAAGUUACCGACACUCCAGUGACUGGUGCCAAGAGACAGCGGGUCCAUUGUGUCACAAAUCAUAUCGGAAACUAAUAGACCAAGAAUGUAAUGCUAAGCUUGUUUUGGCCUAAUGAUAAGACAAAAUCUAAAGAAAACUACUGGAUGAAGGCAUGUACUCCUAUAUACAAUUAGAUCACCUUAGAAGGGAGAUUAUCCUAAUUUAGGUUCAUAUUGUCAUACAACAAUGAAAAUUCUGAAAAAAGAAUUUACCAUCACAAGUUUAGUCAGUUUCCGCUGAGAUGAGACAAUGUACUGAUCUAUCUUUGCCUGAGACUUGGGUAUCUGAUGAUUCUUCAUAGCUCCAGACACCUUAUCAACUGUCUUCUUGACAAUGGUCUUAAAUGCUUCCUUACUCAUAUUACCCUCCCGCCAAGACGGUUUCAAAACCUCCUUUACAAAAUCAGCAAGGGCAACCUUGAAAAGCUUCAUUGAUCUGGACUCUUUGUUCUUGCUCUUUGAUGGUGACUUUAUCGGAUCUAUCUCGAUCUCACCUGAAUUCAAGUUGCCUGCACCAUUAGGGUUGUUUGGGCUCUCAUUCUCAACAGCACCCACUUCUGCAUCUGCAGACUCGCCAUAUUCCUCAUUAAAUGCAGUAAUAGUAGCAGCUACUCCUACUACUCCCCCAGUUGCUUUCUUCUUGUUGUUCUCUUCCACAUCCAAUGGCUUGUUUGAACCACUGUGGCCCAACAUGAUAUCAGAGUCGCUACUGGGUUCCCACUUGUUAACAUUAUUGGUUUUAUAGGAAAGGUUAGAUGAUGGCUCAAAGCUGUCAAGAAGUGGAUCAUACUGGUCACCUCCUGACCUAGGAAAAUUCUGCCCAACAGCCUUCGGAGAAUUUGGUGAGGAAGUUGCCUGCCUUGACCCAACACUGCCAGUAUCUCUCACUUCAACUCGAGCAUGGCUCAUAUCAAAAGGACUAGCAUACUUGCCACAGUAGGUUGUGACCUCUUGCCGACAAGCAUCAGAACUCAAUUUGGAGCUCAGUGACUGCUCAAAAGUAGAUGCAUGAGUGUAGUAAGUUGAAUUUCUUGAUCCUUCCAAAUUAAGAGGAUGAGAAGACUGAUUCACUUCCUGAAGAUCUGGUGGAAAUUUGGAAGAGGAACUAACGGACACGGAGUGGUGCACACUGUAGGGAGGCUGUUGUUGAUUCAAGUGAAGAUGAAUAUGAGAAGUUGAUUUCAAAAGCUCACCUGGAUGCAAAUUGUCAGCAGGAGAAGGUUGCAAUUUACUAGCAGAUAAUUCCUGUGAAAAAGUUGUAGGUACAAGUUGAUUGUCACCUUGAGGAAAGGAACUUGACGUUCGAAGACCCAGUGUUGGAAGAUGGCUCGACUGAUCUUCUCUCAAAAGACCCUGGACGGUAAAUUGUUGACUCUGUAGGUUGUACGGAGGCAAAGGCUUCGAACUAAAAUCCUCUGAACAUGAGAUAGAACGAUUUGGCUCUUGCAUUGGAUGAAAUGAUCGCUGCUGAAAAUCACCAACCUGCGAAGGAGUUGGCAAUUCAGCUGCAUAUGUUCUUAUCUGUGAAGAAACAAUGGGUGGUGGAGGUGGUAAUGGUGUCCAAGAGGGAAUUGGUGGUAAGAAGAAAUUAGACUGUUGGCUGGGAAUCAUAUUAGAACGAAACCUUUCCCCAGAAGCUGCUUGAGAUGCGAAGGAUGCACUCUCUGGGACCAAGUUGUAAUCCCCUGGAGGCUGGGUCACGUUGUGAGCAGUUACACCUUGUGAACACGGUGGGGGAGGGGGCAGCUGGGCAGAAUUAUGUCUAAAUUCAAUUGAAUUUGGUAAAGCUUCAGACACAGGAAGCUUAUUUACUGAAUUCAUGGGUGUUUGUUCUGGAGAAGAAUCAGAUAUGGAAGAGUUAUCAGUCUGCUGAGGAAGACACUCAGCAUUCUGAAGCAAUGGAUCAUGCAGCUUGGCUUGAGAUGGCAUAGUCACAGAAUUUUCCCUAGGAAGUAUAUCUGGAGAAGCAUCACCAUGUGACUUGAAUGUAUCAGAUUUAACCAUAUGAGGAUCAACUAAUCGACUAUCUUGGUCAAAACUACCAGGCAUUUCUUGACCUAGUUGCAUUUUUGAACUCUUGACUACAUGAUGCUGUUGAUCUGAUUCUUUCUGCAAGUUAUGCUUGACCUCUCCUUCAAAAUUAGAAUCCUUGGGAAUAGGUGGAACUUCCAUAAACUGCUGUUUGCUCCUACGACGCUUUGAUCCAUCGCCCUUCUCGGAAUCAUGGUGCAGAUAGCGACAAGAUGCUCCACGGUAGCACCUGCCUCGACGAAAGUCAAAACAUCCAGGAAUCUGACUCCUGUCCCGUCUCAUACGAUCACCACAGAACGAACUCACACGCUUAGAAACAGGAGACCUGCUUCUGCUUCUUCGAUUUCUUGGAGAUCUGCUCCUGCUGCUUCUUCGAUUUCUGGGAGACCUGCUCCUGCUUCUCCGUUUUCUGGGAGACCAGCUAAAAGAAGCAAGAAAUUUUGCAGUGAAUGAGUAUUGAUUUACUUGACAAAUAAUAAGCUCUUAACCAUGGUUGUAUUAUGUCAUGAUUUACAAAGAAUAAGAGGUGAAUUAUGACCUAUUAUUUACUAAUGAUUGGUUAAUAAACCAAUUGCAUAAACCAAUAAUGUACAUCAUGUAGUCCAUACCUGCGAGAUCGGCUUCGUCUCUCCCUUCUCCUCCAUAGCCUCCCCUUCCUCCGUCUGCCUAGAGGUGAUCUGCUCCGGCUUCUGCCUCUUUUUCCUUGCCUCCCAGUAUAGCGUGAAUCAUCAGAAUCACUCUCACUUGCACCUUCCCUGACCAAUCGCCCAAAUUCGUCUACUUUAAGAGAAUUUGAAGCAGACUUUGCACCUUUUUCAGCAUAUUCCUUCUGAAGGUUACCAUUUAAACGAAUUUCAACACCAGCAUCCUCCAAGGCAUUCUUUUUCUGGAAAUCCUGAGGAGACUCGGCAUGACCAACAUAUGCUUGAUUUUUGUGUUUAUGGAGAACAUUUUCAUCAGUUGUUCCACUAGUAAUGGAUGCCAUAACAAUUUCCUCAGGCUCUCUACCUGAAACUUCAUGGAAAUUCACAGAUUUGGGCGAAAUGUUCAAUCCUAUAUUCCUAUGCGGACUUGAAGCUCCAACUGCAACCGAUGAUGUGUCUUUUAAAGCACUAGCACCGUGAGGCUCCUUGUCAUUAUCUGAGAUGUCAUCAGAAGCAUAGUCGUGCAGAAGUCUAAAAGGGCUGCCACCUUCUAUAAGCUGAGAAGAUUUCUUCUCAGAAUACACACCUUGAGCAGCUGCUAAAGCCCCAGAAGAAAAUUUGUCAUCAACAGAGGUAGUAGCAGAUUUCUCUAAAUUUCUGUUCAAGGGGCACUCAUCGGCUGAACUAAUCACUGGGCUACAAACUUUGGCAGCUGGCCUCUCUAAUGCUACUAGGUCAUGUUUGGAAACAACUCUGUCUACUACAUUCAAAAGAAAUAAUACAAAAAUAAUAAUAAUACAUUUGAACCCAAAUUAAAAGAUGUAGCAUAUGAAGAAUUCAUCCUGGGGUAAUCAUUAUGUAUACGGUAAAUAAACAUAAACUUUCCAAAAGCAGCUCGAUGAUACAAAAGUUGGGGAACAAUUUGAUAUUCUAGAGUACUGAUUUAAUGAACACACAAACUAAUCCCACUGGAGGAAAAAACAAAAACAUAUCAAAACUAACAGAAAGAAAAUGAACAAGGAGAAAGUAUUUGCUUUAUCUAAUCAUGAGGGUUAUAGAAAUAAUUCUAAAAUAAAGUGCUUACCCUGUUCAAGAAUAACUGGAGCAGUGGAUGCGGCCCUUUUAGAUUCUGUCAUUUGCUGUUUAUGUGACAGCUCUUUGACAUCAAGCUCACUGUAAAUCAAAUCAUACCCACUGGUGCCUUCAAUUGAGUGAUUCACCCCAGGGUCAUUGCCAGGUAGGGUGAUAUCAUCUUCAAGCAACCAAUAAAAAGGAGAGAAAAAAAUGAGUAAUAAUUUAACCAAGGCAAAAGCCAAACACUUAAUACAACUAAAGCAUGUGAAAUUUGAGACAAUCCAAAUCUAACUUCACAACUAAUGAAUUUGACACAAUUUGAGAGCACUAAAGCUCAGCUCAAAAGCAAUUCAACAAGCUUGCAACCCAUGAACACAUUUGGCCAUGGAGGACUCUAACUGAUUGUUAAUAAACAAUUGCUAAGAUGCACUUUCUACAGUUGCUUUUACCAUGAAGAUGUUUAGGAAUUACAGUUCUUUAGGGGAGGGUGGACGCACAUUGUGGGUCAAACCCAGGUUCUUUUAACUGUUCUUUGUAGAGAUUUGUUACCACUCCCCUGGAAAUUUGUUCUCCUUGUGGACACCCGGUUUGCACCUGUAUCUUCUUUCCUUUUGUAUUUUAAUGCAAUUUUCUCGUAGUAUAGCUUGCUCAAGUGUUGUAAAUUCCAUAAUAACACAUGGAUGCACCUACUGACGUGGAACAAUAAAUACAGGGAUCUCAUUUGAAUUAUCACUUCACAAAUAAAUUACAAACUCCCAGUAGUAAACAACAAUCGCACACCACAUAACACCACAUCUGCGCUACUUGAAAAGAUCCAGAGAAUUAUAAACAAUAAGAAGCAGAAUCGUAUUUAGUUACACGAACCUACCUUCCAUCUCCAUGUCUGAGUCAGGAGGUGAAUAAGUUCUUGAUGCAACCUCCAAAUGAUUGGAUUGCAGUGAAGAGUCAGUUCCUGAUGUCCUUAAAGGUGACUCACUUCUUUUUUCAUUCAAUUCACAAGCCAACAUACAUUUCUUCUUUGUCCACAAGAAAUACUCAUGCGCAAUUUCAGCAUCACUUCCUGGAUCACCAGCAAACAAAAACUCAAAUUCUGGAUUUCCAGAUUCAUUUUGACGAACCAAAUCUUCAUAAUCAGGACCAUUCUUAGCAAUAAGCUGACAUAAAUCUUCAAUCUUCUGAACAACUUUUUCUUCUGUUGGCUUAGGCGGAGAUGGGGAACCUUCCUGAAUUAAAGACCCAUCAAACUGGUGCACAUUGUGCCUGACCUGAUAAGUGAUUACAUCUUUAUCAAAAAAAUCUGAAGUACUUACCUCAGAGCAAAAUGGUUUACUGGAACUGGUCAAGUUGGAAGCAGCUUCAUGGAGUGCAGAAGAGGACGAGGGAGAGGUAGAUGGAGGUCGAGUGGAUGGAAUUGGUGGAGGAUUAAAAGGUAGAGGCGGCGGCGGCGGCAGGGACACCAAAGAAGGCAUACGAGAGUUUCUACCUGUUGACUGUACAACACUUCCAAAUGGAUCAGAAGUGAAAGAACUAGAAGUAGGAGGAGGAGGAGGUUGAUUCAGCAUAUAUGGAAGAUCUUGCUCACCGCCAGGCUGCUGUGACUGUAAUUGCACUGAAGCUCUAUAAACAGUAGCUGAAGGAGGAGGUAAUUCUCUAGGGGGAUGAGGAGGCAUUGAUGCUGGCAUAUGGUGCACAUUUUGGGUCCCUAAAUGUGAAGACAGCUGCAUCUUCUGUUGAUCAGUUGAACACAUAUGUGUCAAUGGGGUGCUUCCAUGUGCUGCAGGGUUUGGGGGUACAUAAGUUUGGCUAUUGUUCACGCCAGCAUCGGGUGAAAUUUGACGAACUGCAGGAUGUGGGACAGGAGGACUGUGUUGAUAUAUAGGAAGGCCUCGUUGAAAUAUAGGAGGUGGAGCCAGAGAACCUUGUUGAAAAUGAGGGGGAAGAGGAGGCGGACCAGGCGGCUGGUGCCGGUAUGGUGGUUGCAGGGGUGGGGGAGGACCCCUCCCAAACUGAGAAUUAUAACUCCCUUGGCCAUACAUCUCAAUACACGCUAUAACUCAAAACAAUCAUCCAAUUACUAAUUUCAAUACCAAUUCAAGCACUUCAUUUCAUGCAUACAAUCUUAUAUUCAAGCCUUCCAAAAUCUACCUGUAAAAUUACAAGAAACAUCUUAAACAAGUGAUGUGUACAUACAAUAUGUUAACAAUUUGAAAAUGCAAUCCAAACAUAUAUAUACAUACAUAUAAAAUUAUGCUCCUUUUUAUCACUUACUAAUCAAAUUCAAUUCAAUAUUUGCUUCCCGGGAAAAUGUAGGAAACGAGACCAGAACAGAGCUCAAUUAAAAAUCCCUAAACUCCAUUAUUCUCAUUAUUAGAAAAAAUCAAUUGUUCUUUUGUCUAUUUCUAAUGAAUAAGUAAAUCAACAACACACGUAUUGUUGAUGUUUUCAAUUUUCUAAAUUCUACUCCUUUCUCGGACUUUCUCAGCAAGCAAACAGAAAAAAAUAAAAAAAAUAAAAAGAGCAUAAACUGAACGAACAAAUUCGAUACUUACGAAUCAAAAUAACGGAAGGAUCAAGAAAUUAAGCCCUAGAAAUUGAGAAGUCGAAAAUUUGAAGAGGAUUGUGUCCUUUAAAAAAAAAAUUAACAAUUAGUUUCCGGUUAAGAAACUUAGUGGGAGUGUGUAAAGAGCUAAACUUUAUAAACCCUAUUGCUGUAAGAUUUUUUUUUGUUUAUUUAUUUUUUUUCCUUUUUUUUGUGCGUCUCCUGGUACUUUUUGAUUCGUUUAUUUUUGCUGAGCGUGAGAAUAAAGAAAACUUGAUAACUUAUAAUAAUAAAAUACGAGAUAAAGAAACCGGCUUUUGUAGCGAGUAAAAAAAAUAAUAAUAACAACAAUUAUUUUAGAUUAAUUUCAAAAUUAAUCCAAAAUCUAGAUAAAUUUACAAAUAAAAUUCCUUACUAGUUCUAAAUUUCGGAACUAUUUCAAAUAUAAUAUGGGCUCAUUUGGUAUGCCGGAUUGAAUUGAAUUGGAUUGGAUCAUAUUAGAUAAGAUAGGAUUGGAUUUGAUAAUACUGAAUUAUAUAUAAUAAUAUGUUGUGUUUGGUAUGCCAUGAGAUUAGCUAGUAACUAAUAAUAUGUCUUAUAUAUUAAUUUAUUAAAAUCAUUGUAAAUUUACUUUAAAAUGACAUGUCAUAAAAUCUAACUUAAAUCAAUAAUUAUUGGUAAAUUUAUAAAAAAAAAAAAAAUCUUCCUUUAAUUUUUUUUAAUAUUUAACAUGUUAUAGUUUUUAAUCCCAUGAAUAGUAGAGGAUAAAGUUUUAUCUUAGAAAAUGUAAUCCCAAGGGUCCCAUUGGGAUGAAAUUUUGCCACUGUUGGGAUUAAGUGAUGAGCCCAUUAUUGUUAUCCUACCUUUACUUUUUUUACACCAAACAUGAUAUAAGGAUUAUUUUACACUAAAAUUAUCUAAUCCAUUGAUAUAUAACUAAAACCAAACGGGCCCUAUGUGUUGAGUAAAUGGUUGGCUUUAUACUAUUGUGUGAAGGAAAAAAAGAUCCCCACACCCUGUCUCGCACUAUAUAAAUAUAGGUUCUUUGGUUGGUAAAUUAAUUAAUGAACAAUAUUCAUUUCAUUAUAACUCAUUAUUUAUUAUUUAUCACUUUGUGUAUGUGUCAGAGAUUCGUGCUCCACCGUAACCGAACUCCAACAUAGCCAUAGCCAAAACUUAAUAAUAAGAUCUCUUAAGUAUUUUGUUUAGUUUAAUUUUUUUUUAUUUAUAACAUGUUAUCAACACAAUAACGGAUUUGACGUGCGCACUUUUAAUCUUUAUUAUUUGUGCUUAUUUAUGCUUUUGAAAUAUUUUAUCAUUAUUAUAUUUUUAUAUUAUUGGUUUAUUGUGCUGUUGAUUUAAUUAUUUAUUGUUUAUAAUAAUUUUUAAUGGCUGGUUUUAUAAUAACGUCUAUAUUGUUAUUACCUUCUUAAUAUAUUAUUAUUAUGUUAAUACAACUUGUUUUACUUAUUUAUUUAUAUGUUUGGCUUAUUCACCUAUCAAGUUAAUUUUAAUUUCAACGAAUUAAGAUUUGGUUUUGCAUAUAUUUGUCUUUGAAUAUUAUUAUUGUAGCCUGAAGUUUAUAACACAAAUGAGUGGUGAGAAUAUAAAGUUCUUACCUCAUUAAAAUUAAAAACCUAAAGUUCUAAAUAUAUAUAUAUAUAUAUUUACUGUAUUUACAUAUUUUAUACUUAUAUUGUGAUUUUUUUUCCUUUGAUUAGUAAUAAUAAGAUUUUUUGAAAAAUGACAAAUCCCACAAAUCUACAAAUCCAUGCUCUUGAAGUUUCUAGAAAAAAAAAACUACCUUUCUUAGAUGUUAGAUACAAAAAUGACCUGCAAACUAUCGGCCUGAAAGACACAAUAGCAGAAGAAAACAAAGUAUUUUUGUAGGAAAAAUUAAAGGUUAUGAUUUUCCUCUAACACCAUUUACAUGAAAGUCUAAAAGCUAAAUAUCUAACGGUAGAUCCUCCAUUAACUUUGUUAAAUAGCCUCAAGGGUAUAUUUGACCACCAGAGAAAUAUUUUUCUUCGAAAAGCCAAACAUGAGAGGUUAAACUUGAGGUUACAAGACUAUGCAAGAGUUUAUAAUUAGAAUUGUACUUUGUUCUGCGUCACCUCAUAACUGAAAUUGUGUGGUGAAAAAAUUAUUGAUAGAUAUAUGUUUGAAAAGACACUCAUUAAUUUUCAUAAAUUAAAUGUUGACCUAUAACAAUAAUAUUAGGAGCAUUGAUAUAGCAAAAACCUUGAGUUGAUAACAUCUCUUUUUAUUGUUGAGCAUAACAAUAAGCUCCUCAUGAAAAAUCAUGAUUUACGUCCAAUUGACUCUCAGGCAUUCCUAGAAGCGAAUGCAAUACAGAACAACAAAGCAAAAAAAUUAGAUGCCACUAGUAGUGGAACGUCUAUAAUAAGCAUAGUAAAGAAAAUUGUGCAGAAAGAAAAAUGUUAGGUAUGGUGGUGAAAAAAUUUGUAUUCUAUGUGGAGAAAAAUGUCAUUGGUCAUGUACCUGCAGUACGAGCAAACAUUUGGUAGACGUCUAUUAAGCACCCAGGAAAGAGAAAAGAAAAAUUUGGACUAAUUUAGUCGAUUACUCAGAUCCUGAUAAUCUGACUCAUCUUGGUGUCUUUGAUUUCCUUGAAGAUACUAAGGGAAAAAACGAUCACUUAAUUGGUGAUUGAAAUAUCAAUAUUUUUUAACCUCUCGUGAUUAUGCCAUAAUUAUUAAGUUAUUAAUAUGUUAACUUUUGUAUUUCUAUAGUUUCAUCAGAUAUACUCAAUGUUUCUAUCUAAUCCUGAUAUUUAACGUGAAUUUUUGUUUAAUAUAAGAUUAUGGAUUUUAGAAAUAAAUUAUGUUUUAUGGAAACGAAAGCUAGGGAUGCACGCUUGGCUGACAGUGCAACUAGACACACUAUUCUUCAAGAUAAAAAAUAUUUCUUGGAGAUAAAUUAUUAAGGAAAAAUGAACAUUCUAUAUGUUCCUAUAGACUUGAUAGAAGGCUCCGGAAGAGUCAUACUGUUAUUGGCAAGUGGAACAAAAUUAAUAAUGCAAAUGCGUUAUAUUUAAUAAGAUCCAAAGAAUUUGCUAAGCUUUAAAGAUAUUUGUCA
rnacentral:lncRNA from 1 species